rnacentral:rRNA from 1 species
UACCAGCACCCCGAGUGGUCGGGACGAUUAUUGGGCCUAAAGCAUCCGUAGCCGGUCCUACAAGUCUUCCGUUAAAUCCACCUGCUCAACAGAUGGGCUGCGGAAGAUACUAUAGGGCUAGGAGGCGGGAGAGGCAAGCGGUACUCAGUGGGUAGGGGUAAAAUCCUCUGAUCCAUUGAAGACCACCAGUGGCGAAGGCGGCUCACUGGACCGGAACUGACGCUGAGGCGCGAAAGCGUGGGGAGCAAACAGG